GUUGUAGCUCAGUGGUAGAGCGCUUGCCUCGCAUGCAUGAGGCGCUGGGUUCGAUCAGUACUACAACA
rnacentral:tRNA from 1 species